AUUGAACGCUGGCGGCAUGCUUUACACAUGCAAGUCGAACGGUAACAGGCCGCAAGGUGCUGACGAGUGGCGAACGGGUGAGUAAUGCAUCGGAACGUGCCCAGUCGUGGGGGAUAACGCAGCGAAAGCUGUGCUAAUACCGCAUACGAUCUAUGGAUGAAAGCGGGGGACCGUAAGGCCUCGCGCGGUUGGAGCGGCCGAUGUCAGAUUAGGUAGUUGGUGGGGUAAAGGCCUACCAAGCCAACGAUCUGUAGCUGGUCUGAGAGGACGACCAGCCACACUGGGACUGAGACACGGCCCAGACUCCUACGGGAGGCAGCAGUGGGGAAUUUUGGACAAUGGGCGCAAGCCUGAUCCAGCAAUGCCGCGUGCAGGAAGAAGGCCUUCGGGUUGUAAACUGCUUUUGUACGGAACGAAACGGUCUGGGUUAAUACCCUGGACUAAUGACGGUACCGUAAGAAUAAGCACCGGCUAACUACGUGCCAGCAGCCGCCGUAAUAC
rnacentral:rRNA from 1 species